AUUGAAGGCUCAAGUGGACCACACCGUUGGAAAUAGUCGAUAUUAAGUCGUUGCCAUUUAUAUUUGUGUGAUCCACGUGGUCCUUCGAUCUGCCUCCUUUUUUUGUAUCACGCAUAUAAUUAGAUUCUAAAAUGAAUGAAUGGAUUGGAUAAACCAUGUACAUCAUGGUGGGCCCCACGAGCCCAUGACAGGACUGUCCAUGCAAUGGCGGUCCCCAAAAUUUUAGCUCAUUCUUUUGGUAAAAGAAACCUCCGCACACUCCCGCCCUCACUUUCCCUUUCCCUCUCCCUCUCGCCCUCACUUUCCCUCUCUCGCACUCCCUUGCCUUUGCUCGCCCUCGCCCUUCUCUCUCUCUCUCUCUCUCUCUCUCUCUCUCUCUCUCUCUCUCUCUCUCGGCGCAUCGUCUCCAGCAUCAUCUCCAGAUCUGGUGUGGCCAGCAGCCCCCACCCUUCACCUCUUCCCCAACCAGGUUCUUGUAUACAGAGAUUGGAUGUCUUCAGAACAUUCACAAUAGCAAUAGAUGUAGUGGAUACGAACAAUUGCAAGUCGAUGAUUCUACAAGCUUGUUUUUUCUCUCAGGGACAGAUUUUCCUGGCCAAGGAAAAUGCAAAAUGAGACUGAGCUGGAAAUUGCGUCUAUAUAUCACACAGAUGCCAUGUGGGGAUGCAUCAAUGACUUCACCAUUGUCAUCAUUGAGUGAUGAGCCCCAACCAAAAGAGAAUUUGCUGUCUAUACUCAAAGCCCCAGGUUCUAUGGGAUGAUGAUUUAGAUGAAUCGAUUUACACUCCAGGUUAAUUUGUUGGUUUGAGCUAAUCCCUUUUUUUCUUUUACUUUUCUCCAUAAUCUUUCAAAAAGGGA